UACGUAGGGUGCGAGCGUUGUCCGGAAUUAUUGGGCGUAAAGAGCUCGUAGGCGGUCUGUCGCGUCGGCUGUGAAAACUCGGGGCUCAACCCCGGGCCUGCAGUCGAUACGGGCAGACUAGAGUGCGGUAGGGGAGACUGGAAUUCCUGGUGUAGCGGUGAAAUGCGCAGAUAUCAGGAGGAACACCGGUGGCGAAGGCGGGUCUCUGGGCCGUAACUGACGCUGAGGAGCGAAAGCGUGGGGAGCAAACAGG
rnacentral:rRNA from 1 species